ensembl:processed_transcript 2210408F21Rik RIKEN cDNA 2210408F21 gene
GGAGGCAAACACCGAGCUCCCCCUGAGCCGCCUGGGAGCAGGGAGGGUUCUGCUACCCUGAGGGGCCCUCCCCGCGGGGCAGAGGGGUUUCCUCAGCAGUGCCCCGGAGCAGGGACCGCGCCAGCCAGCAGAAACAGCUAGUUGUUGUCUGCAGUGAAGAAUAAUUGGAAGCAUGGUGCCUGUUUCUUUUCCUGUGGAAGUCACAGCAUCUACUGAAUCUGUGCUUGCCUUGAGGAAAAACGGCAUGGCACAGGAAUGUGGACGCUUUCAACCAGAGGAUUCUGUACGACAGUGUCGGCACACAAGGAGUGUUCCACUGACUGACCUCUUUUUGUUUUCAAAUGAAGAGGAGCCAAGAAUAGGACAGCUUGGGAAGGUGAGCUGCGUAUAGCUCGUCAGGCUGAGCUCAUCCUCGUCUACGGCCAAAUGUUGGUUUCUCAUUUCUAGAAGAUGAAAGAUGUGAUGACUCAGGAAAAACUUGCUGCUCGAGAUGUGAGUCUUCAGAUGUUCCUGCCGCCAUAUCUGACAGCUGCUGCCAAGAUUCCCUGGUGGGAUGGACUCUUAUACCUCGACAACCAGAAGCCCAAGUAAACUCUUCUAUAAAUUGAAUGACUCAUGCUUAAAAAAAAAACAAAAAACU